GACGGGGGAUGCAAGCGUUAUCCGGAAUCACUGGGCGUAAAGCGUCUGUAGGUGGUGAUGCAAGUCACUGGUGCAAAACUCUGGCUCAACCGGAGGAAAGCCAGUGAAACUGCAUGACUAGAGAGUGGGAGAGGUAGAAGGAAUUCCCUGAGUAGCGGUGAAAUGCGUAGAGACAGGGAAGAACACCGGAGGCGAAAGCGUUCUACUGGAACACAACUGACAAUAAGAGACGAAAGCUAGGGGAACGAAUGGG
rnacentral:rRNA from 1 species